rnacentral:rRNA from 1 species
UACGAAGGGGGCUAGCGUUGUUCGGAAUUACUGGGCGUAAAGCGCACGUAGGCGGCUUUGUAAGUUAGAGGUGAAAGCCCGGGGCUCAACUCCGGAAUUGCCUUUAAGACUGCAUCGCUAGAAUUGUGGAGAGGUAAGUGGAAUUCCGAGUGUAGAGGUGAAAUUCGUAGAUAUUCGGAAGAACACCAGUGGCGAAGGCGAUCACCUGGGGUUGUUCUGACGCUGAGGAGCGAAAGCUAGAGGAGCAAACGGG